CCUGCGCGGAAGAUGUAACGGGGCUAAACCAUGCACCGAAGCUGCGGCAGCGACACUAUGUGUUGUUGGGUAGGGGAGCGUUCUGUAAGCCUGUGAAGGUGUGCUGUGAGGUAUGCUGGAGGUAUCAGAAGUGCGAAUGCUGACAUAAGUAACGAUAAAGCGGGUGAAAAGCCCGCUCGCCGGAAGACCAAGGGUUCCUGUCCAACGUUAAUCGGGGCAGGGU
rnacentral:rRNA from 1 species